UGCAGGUGUAAUCAGUUUAAGUGCAAGUAAUAGAAACUAUUAGGAAUACCUUCAUUUUACAUUAUGAAUAGAAUACAUUCGAAGUGUAGGAGCAUAAAAAGCAAAAACUCUGCACACACGACAUUUCAAAACAAACUUGAACAUGAAAAACAAAAUGGGGUGCGCAAGAGGCGAGCAUUUUCGUUCAAUUAAUUGGCGAAUUAUUAGAUAUUGGAAGAGUUGUACAUAUGGAAUCAGUCAUUUAUGAUGGUCCACUGCGAGCUCAAAUAUGACGAGCGACGAGCUGGUUAACAAGCAUCCGGAUCCUGGCUGCAAUAGCAGCUGGGAUGAGUUAUGUUACCGGAUAACAGCAGAAAAGGAACCAAACUUAUCUACAGUGCCUACCUACAGCUCUACCAGAUGAUAUAA